GGUUGACCUCGGAUCAGGUAGGGCUACCCGCUGAACUUAAGCAUAUCAAUAAGCGGAGGAAAAGAAACCAACAGGGAUUGCCUCAGUAACGGCGAGUGAAGCGGCAAGAGCUCAAAUUUGAAAUCUGGCUCCUCGGGGCCCGAGUUGUAAUUUGGAGAGGAUGCUUCGGGCGUGGCCCCUAUCUAAGUGCCCUGGAACGGGCCGUCAUAGAGGGUGAGAAU
rnacentral:rRNA from 2 species